rnacentral:rRNA from 1 species
CGUCUUAAGUCAGCGCUGAAAUUUAGGGGCUCAACCUCUACCGUGCCGUUGAUACUGGGAUGCUGGAAUGCGGAUGCCGUGGGAGGAAUGUGUGGUGUAGCGGUGAAAUGCAUAGAUAUCACACAGAACACCGAUUGCGAAGGCAUCUCACGAAUCCGCUAUUGACGCUGAUGCACGAAAGCGUGGGGAUCAAACAGGAUUAGAUACCCUGGUAGUCCACGCUGUAAACGAUGAUGACUAACCGUCGGCGAUACACAGUCGGUGGCCAAGCGAAAGCGAUAAGUCAUCCACCUGGGGAGUACGACCGCAAGGUUGAAACUCAAAGGAAUUGACGGGGGCCCGCACAAGCGGAGGAACAUGUGGUUUAAUUCGAUGAUACGCGAGGAACCUUACCCGGGCUCGAACGGCAGAUGAAUAACUUAGAGAUAAGUUAGUCUUCGGACAUCUGUCGAGGUGCUGCAUGGUUGUCGUCAGCUCGUGCUGUGAAGUGUCGGCUUAAGUGCCAUAACGAGCGCAACCCUUGCCGUUAGUUGCCAUCAGGUUAUGCUGGGGACUCUAGCGGGACUGCCACCGCAAGGUGUGAGGAAGGGGGGGAUGACGUCAAAUCAGCACGGCCCUUACGUCCGGGGCGACACACGUGUUACAAUGGUGGGUACAGAGGGGUGCUACCUGGCGACAGGAUGCCGAUCUCGAAAACCCAUCCCAGUUCGGAUUGGAGUCUGCAACCCGACUCCAUGAAGUUGGAUUCGCUAGUAAUCGCGCAUCAGCCAUGGCGCGGUGAAUACGUUCCCGGGCCUUGUACACACCGCCCGUCAAGCCAUGGAAGCCGGGGGUGCCUGAAGUUCGUGACCGCGAGGAGCGACCUAGCAA